UGGGGAAUAUUGCACAAUGGGCGCAAGCCUGAUGCAGCCAUGCCGCGUGUGUGAAGAAGGCCUUCGGGUUGUAAAGCACUUUCAGCGGGGAGGAAGGCGAUAAGGUUAAUAACCUUGUCGUUUGACGUUACCCGCAGAAGAAGCACCGGCUAACUCCGUGCCAGCAGCCGCGGUAAUACGGAGGGUGCAAGCGUUAAUCGGAAUUACUGGGCGUAAAGCGCACGCAGGCGGUCUGUCAAGUCGGAUGUGAAAUCCCCGGGCUUAACCUGGGAACUGCAUUCGAAACUGGCAGGCUAGAGUCUUGUAGAGGGGGGUAGAAUUCCAGGUGUAGCGGUGAAAUGCGUAGAGAUCUGGAGGAAUACCGGUGGCGAAGGCGGCCCCCUGGACAAAGACUGACGCUCAGGUGCGAAAGCGUGGGGAGCAAACAGG
rnacentral:rRNA from 1 species